rnacentral:lncRNA from 1 species
ACGUUACAAAGAAAAGGGGUGUUUAGCUCACAGUCUUGGAGGCCCAGGGUCAUGGCAUCAGCUUAGGGCACUCUGCUACCUCACGACGUGUAGAUGGCAUCUUGGCGAGAGGGCUGUGAGUGCAGAGGUCGCAGGCUGAGGUGGGACGCCAGAGAGAUCCAGGGGCCAGGCGUGCUCUUUAUACAGGGGCACGUGUGGGGACUGACUAGUGUCCCCAAAGCCCAAUAUGAGUCACUUCCAAGGGUGAAGCCCCCGGUGACCACCUCUAGGCCCCGUCUCCUUGAGUGUCUCCCUCCACAGCAUGGCCCUCGGGGGACACGCUCACAGUAUGUCCAGACACCCAGGGACUUCCCUUCCAUCCACGUGAGGCUGGACGGAGGCACCUCCACGUCCUGCUGGGAUGGGGUCCGAGGGGCCACUAAAGGGCUGGACAGCGGGUCCCCCUUUUCCUGCUCACCCACCCUGGAGUCGCCCUCUGUGGGAAGUCUGGGGCUAUGACGGGCACCUCUGUCCCCCUGGGAGCAGUGUCACAGGUCCAGUGGGAGGUGGGACCGUGGGCAUUGUCCCCAUACUGAGGUCCCCUCAUCAAAGGACUAGGGAGCCGGAACUGUCACCCCCAGUGACAGUCAGGAAAGCCCCCGCCUGGGUGCUAAGGAGGCUAAACAGGGACCCUGGACUGGGACCUUCACUGUGAGUCACGAGCAGGUGCCACACGUGGCCCCUGUGGGCAUGGGCUCAGGGAGGUCCAGCAGGACCCGAGCCUUUACACACAGAGGUGUUCAGCAACAGCAGCAGAGCCCGGGACACUUGUCACACCAAGAACCAGGACGAUGGCAGGUGGAGUGAGUAAAAGAGUCACCAGAGGCCAUCAGGAGGCUGGCGGACAUGACCUGACCUUAAAGCAGCCAUUAAAACGGCACCCAAGAGCCGUGAGGAGCCAACUGCAGAAAAAGAAAAGAAAUGGAAAUCCUCGGGAAGGAAAUAGAAGGUACAGGAAGCUCCAAAUAAGCCACCUCCUCGGCCUUUUUGUUAUAUUUUAUUUUGAGUCAGG